rnacentral:lncRNA from 1 species
AAAUUUGUUUAUAUAUUUUUUAAGGAAGGAAGUAAAUAGUUUUGGUAAAGACCAAUUGUGUUUUCACGUGCUGUUGUUUCCGUCAAGAUUGUUUUGUCAACACAUUUACAUGCAAAACUGAGGCAGAGGCCCUACAACACAUUUAAUUUUCACACUUUUUCAAUUGGUUGUUUUGUUGGUCAAUCUACGGUACUAUCUCGGUGGCCCCUCACAAUAGUGAAUCUUUGGUGCAAUUAUUAAAUUCAGGGAUAAAAGAGAGGAUCUUUUAAGGGAUCGAACAAGGC